AUAUAUAUAUAUAUACGUAGGAACGGAAGCCCAAGGGAGCACAAUUACUCUAAUCAAGACGAGCCAAGGACACUGAAGCUUCGGACCAUAAUCUGAAACACUUCUGCUCCACACCUUCACUACAUUCAAAACCUCUUAUCAAAGUUACAUGUUUUAAUGGUUCUAAUGACGGAUAAACAGAAUCUCUACAUUAUUAAGAGGAGAAGCACUCUUGAGAAACCAGUUAAUCAUUUCUGUGGCCUUUGAAACUAGUCGUGGUGAGAGAGCAAAGCGUUUCAGAAUACGGGCCUUGGCCAAGCCUACAUAAGACCGUUCUGUGUGUGUGUGUGUGUGUGUGUGGCGUAAUUUUGUGUUAGUGACGGCAAGACAAGGACGUCACCGCACUUCAUUAAGAUGUUUCGAGGCAAGGCAGUGAGAUACCGAGACACCCGUUUCAAUCAGCCGCCAGCCACCAGACAGUCAGUGUAAGCAUGGUGGUGAUGGUGUGUAUGUGUGUGUGUGUGUGUGUGUGUACCAGAAUCGUCCUUGCUUGUCUCCUGACUUUAUAAUGAGAGUCUAGCGGCAGUGUGCCAAGUGCUAGAGAGCAGAAGCAUGUCCAGUUCUCAGCACACCCAAUUACCUUGGUGCAUCAGGGCAUCUACAGGGCCCCAACACCUGCCUUCCCCCCUAACCAGCUGCUUGACGUCUGCUUGCUGGGAUGACAUCUGCCUCAUUCCCUCUCAGGAUGAUGCCUGAGAACUGAUAGUGAUGCCAAUGCAUCCACCACCAUUCUCACAUCACCAAGCCAACAGACAAGCUCUCCAAGUCUUUCCGUCUUUCAGCUAGGAUAGUUAGGGCCCCUCUCUCUGUCAUCACCCAGAAUAGGAAGUAAUAGUUGCUUAUUAACUACAAGUGUUUACAUGUUUGUCCUGCUUCCUUAUCCACAUUACACUUACCAUGUCUUUCCCUGUCUUGGUGACUUUGAUUUUCACUUUCCAUUAGUGAACUUUGUUUUUCUCUUUCCAUUUGUAAACUUUGUAAACUUUUUGUUUACUUUCUUUACCAUCAAAAGCAUACUUCUAACUUCUUUAGCAGCACAGCUAUUUGCUGACUUGGUGCUAGUUCUAAAGAUACUCAUUAGAAUUUAGAAUGAGUAGUAUAUUGUCUCCUUAUUAUGAAUUAACUGUACUUGCAUUCCAUUUUCAGUUUUAUUUUUACUCUGUGCGCUCUAGAUUUGUUUAUAUAUCAGUUAUAUAACUCGCACCAGAACUGAUUUUGCUUUAGAUUUGUUUGAUAUGUAUAGUUAUAUAACUCACAUCAGAACUGAUUUUGCUUGUUAUAUGUCUGUUCAAGAAACAACUUUAAAUAGAUAACAACAAAACUUGACAGCUUAGGUCAAGAUAUGAAUAAGAAACAAGGAAUGUAAACUUGUAACAUAUAUUUUAACAACUCUGAAACAAGGGCAAAAAACAGAAUUCCAGUUCCCAAGGACUGUGCCAAGCUGCUGGCCACCAACCUGCAGUGGCACAGCAGAGCACUUGUCAGUCAUGGUGACCAUCUUUUUUGUAUGUAAAAAAAAAAAAAAAAAAAAAAAAAAGCUAUUAAAAA